AGAUGAUAUUAUGUACAGAGUUCGUAAGUUCACAUAUGAGAAUUUAUUUGGAUUUUUUUAAUCUCAUCAAUUGGAUUACACUGGAAUAUGUAGUUUUAAAUCUGAUAACGUGAAAAUCUAAUCUUAUUUAUUGGUAAUCUCCAGUCUAUGAUUUCUUUACCAUGUGCUUGUUGCAGUUUGAAUUGAUCAUUUAUCUAGAGUGGACCUCUUGUGCUAUGAAUGUUUAUAAUUUAUGUGUCAAUAGCCUCAAGUGUAUAAAUAAUUUCAAUUUUAGUGAUUUUAACAGGAUGAAACGACA
rnacentral:misc_RNA from 1 species